UGAGACCGUGAGUACCCCUCCGCAGCGCGGGCGGCGGCGGAGGCGGAGCGGGAGGCGCGCGGCUAGGCUGGGCUGGAGGUGCGCCGUCCGGCGGCGGAGGGCGGAUUCCGGGGGACGCUGAGGCGGAGGAACCGGAGGAGAGGAGCGAGCGACGGGCGUGGUGGCAUGCGGCCGCCGGCGCCGGGCCGCAUCGGGUGGCCCACGGGAGCGGCAGAUCUCGAGGACGGCGGCCUCCACACCACACGCUUUUCAUCGAAGUUUUCCGGGCCUCGACAUGCCAUGUUGAUGGCUCAUCGAUUGCCAGCUCGUUAGCUAGCUAGCUCAAUCGACCAAUUUAAUUGAUCUGCGAGCUGAGAAAACUGGAUGCAACACAUGCUUUCUUUGGACCUGAUCGAGGAAUGGAGCAAGAACCACCCGGAGGCAUCCAUUUGCACGUCGGCGGGCGUCUCGCGGUUCAAAAGGUUCGCCAAUUUCUAGGACUAUUACGGCCUUCCGGAAUUCAGAAAGGAACCGGAAACCCCGGAUACGGUAUCGGAAUCAGAAAAUAUUGAAAACGAAAACGGAGCGGAUACGAACGGACCGAAUACAGUAUCGAAUCAGAAAAUAUACGAUGUCGACCGACGGAGCUGCGCACGUUAACGGCGAUGGCAGCGGCAGCGGCAAUGGUGGCGCCGGUAGCAGUGGCAGUGGCAACAUCAACGGAGGCAGUACUGCCUCGAACCACAGUGGAUGGCCAUUCUCAGGCCUUAUCGCUGACAGUUGGAUAUAAAGGAUAUUAUGGAGUCAAGCAUGAUCAUCUUCUGCAAACUUUAAAUAUCGUGCUUGGUGUACCUGGUUAGUAAUACCUGUUUACUCGAUACGUAUUUAGAUAUUUACUCUUAUGUACUAGAAUAUUACAAUAUAAAUUAGUUUACAUUUUUUUGAGUUCAGAUCUAACAAGACUUUCACGUAUCUUUUUCUAUGGUUCAAUUCUAUUUUUGUUCUUAGAUGUCCUGCGUGUUAUACUCAAUAUAUACAUGUUUGAAUAUUUACUAUUAUGUACUA